GGAUGCGAGAGGGGAGAGGGGGAAGUCCUGACACGCGCCAAUCACAUCAUGCUUCUUCGGUUGCAAACGUGUACCGAGCAGUACGCGGUUUAACAGAAAGAAGCGAGAGAGUGAUAGGGAGAGUGACAGGAUGGAGGCAUGCGGGACAAAGGGCGAGGGGAAGGAUGAUGCACGCGCGAUCGCGCUAGCUCGCUCGCCCGACGGCGCUCGCUCGUUCUCUCGCACGGACGCCGGGAAAGAUAGCAGAAAGUAGGACGCGUAUUAAAAACCACAGACCGUGUCCCGUGGCGUCACUUCUCGUGCCUCGCCGCGGCGCGUCGGUAUUACCCAAUCGAAUUCAUCAUAACUGGCACGAGAAACGUACGAGCGAGCAAAUGAACGAACGAAUCGACGGACAUAUGGAGACAUGGACGAGUUGUCGAAUUGAAAAAGAGAAAGGGAGGGGGACAACUAUACGCGACGUAUAAAAGAGAGAGGCAAUUUCGGUGAUAAGCGCGAUCAGCGCCAAGGCGCGGUGAUCGAUGGAAACACGGACGUCCAGUAUCUUACGAUCUAUGAUAAGACUUUCGAUUUCGAUGCGUCGAUCGCGAGAUCCGUGUAACGCCGCAGCCAAGCACUACGGUGAAUCGUGUUUUCUUAUUUUCAGUGUUUAGCCGAGGAGAAGAAACGAGUCGCUUCCUCUCAUUAUUGCAUUCCCAAACGAAAUUUUUGCACGCACAAGUUCCAGAGAAAUAUUACCCGAGUGCUAAAUUUAGCGACUGAUCGAAACGAGACCAACGCCGUGGUGCGGCGAUCGCGGGAAUUAUAAAAGGUGCGAGCGCGCCUCUUCCGCUCGAAUCAAUGAUCCUUAAUUACGUUUGGAAAUUAAGCUGACGCCAAAGUAUCGCGCAACGAGUAAAUGAAUUUUCCUAAGGAAUUAGGUCAUGCCCUUGAUGGGUUAUUCGUGAAAGCUUAAGGAAUGUCGGCGUCGACUAUACACGCUUCAUCGACUAUUAUUCGACGACGUUUAAGUAAGUACGAUCUGAUCUUCCAAUAUAAUCUUGCAAAUCCACCAAAAUUUCAUCUUUUCGGCAUGAACAAAUUUACAUUGGACAAGAUCGAACCAGUGAUCUAAGAAAUCGAUCGAAGAAACGGAGAAUGUUGUCGUUUGCGUAUCGAACGCUCGUAAAUUUAUCAAACUAUAUCGAUAAAGGUAAACAAAAGUUACAAAGAUGGUUCCCUUCUCUUAAAACUAUUACACCAGUCUAUUCAAUGCGCAUGGCUGAAUAAAUCGAACGUUUCCGCGAUGCUAAACAUUUUAACACCCCGGCUACUUUGAAUGUCGCGCGCAUGCGCCCAGUAGUACGGAUAGCAAUUCUUAUAUGCGAUCCUUUGGGCAAGCUUUUAGAUGUUGAUACCAUUGGGAGGGCGCCACAAGUUAGGAGAAGCAAUUUGGCGAUGCGAGAUAUGUACACGUAUAUGGUCUACUUUUCGAAGUCGGACCGCAUAGACGCGACUCGAGCGCGCAUUCAAAUACGUCUUGCUUUGCAUUUGCAAGUACAAUGAAAUUAUGCAAGCGUGUUAUAUUGCAAUUAUAUGUACUCGCAAUAAAUCGGUAAUAACGGAAUAAUAGCCGUUACUAAUACACUGGGAAUGCGAGCUGGGAUAUUUCCAACGGCAUACAUUUAGUAACGGUGAUCAUAACACGGAGACUUACGAUCCAAUAAUACAAUUUGUAAUACGGUACUACAGAAAAAAAUUGUUUUACGAUUACUUUAAAAAACGCACAUUACGAAUAAAUCUGUUAUACUUAUUGCAUAUACAGAAAUAAAUCUGCUAUACUUAGACUGCGAACGUUUAUGUAAUUUUAUUUUAUUAUGGGAAAUUUUAAUGUACAGUAACAUAACGUAACAUAGACGAUAUACAUAAUAUAAGAGUGAACACGAUACGAAAGAAUAUAUGUAAUAAGAAAAUAUGCAAAGUGAUACACCUGUCGUAAUAUUUAAAGACCAAACCUAAUUUUUCUUUACAAUGUAUGCUUGAUCGCUGUGUCUGUAAAAAUUUCAAUGUACAUAAACAUUUACAGUCUAGUUAUAACUAUUUCAAGUCUUGUCAGUGAAUUAUGUAAUUUCAUACGAUUAAAAGUAAUAAACGCACUUUUAUAAGAUGAGCAGUAUAGCUGAAACUUAUUUGUAAAACCAGUGGCACUGGAAUUCGAUCGUAUCGUGAUUACGAUACAAGAGGGUAAAAGGUGACGUGGACGCGAGGGAUGAAGGUUCGGCACCGAUAAAUUCGCCAACGUAUCUAUACCGGUGCUGUAGCCCGCUGGGGACGUUGAAUAAUAAUUAUUGUUGUUGGCUCGGCUUGGGUGUUAUUGAGUUAUUCCAAUGCGAGUUUAUCAAAGUGGGUCAAGCGAUUCAAUAGCGACCGCCGUGGAGGAGAAACGACCCAUCGUCUUAACGUGGCGUGGGAGUGUACGUAUAGUAGUGGAAUAACGUGCACACGAUCAAACACACACCGGCAAACGCUACCGAAUUGGUACACGUAUAAAAAGUGACGAACAACCAGACCGUAAAAUCGGUACCACUAUUACGAGGAACAAUUACAACGAUGAUAUCUCGUUUCUUUAUAUAAUUCGAAGAAAAUUGGUGGAAAAGAUUGGAUCAAUUUACUCGGAAAAAACAGGAACGCGGGAGGAACAGAAUUCGCGAAACGUAAAAUCGUUAUCUAAUUGAAAUCGUGGAAGAAACAAAUGUUGAUUCGGAGCUUGGUGCGAGUUAUAAUCUCAGUAACGAUUCCGUAUGUAUACAUUUGCUCUUCAAUCCGUAAAGUCCGCUAAUGACUCACUCAUUCCACCUUCCGUACGCUCAUUAUCCGUUGCUAAUUAUCAUAAAUCUCAGCUCAAUCACGAGAAUAGAAUGGCAAUGUUAAUCGACACCUUUUUGGACAAACAACGGUCACACGUAACCAACGUAAUUUCAUCACGGGAUUUUCACAAGUAGUUGAGAGAGAGAGAGAAUAAUUACCUGGCUUUCCAUUAGCAACAGGUAGAACGACGGACGAGCCAUAAAUUCCUUUAGGAAAGCGAGGAAACCGGAUUUUCUUCGCUCUUGGUGAGAGUUGGGACAACACUGUCAAUUGUUGCAUAAUAGGAACAACAAGAAUAAGAGGCGUGUGCCCUCGGUCAAACUGGCAAUAAACAAACAAAGAAUAUUUGACUGAGAUGUCACGGGUAAAUAAGUAAACUGACGACAAGUGAAAAUACAACCCAAGACCCGUGGAGAGAACCGAUGUCACGAGUCACGAGAGAACCGAAGAAAGUGAAGAAGGUCGCGUGUCUGUAUUGGAAGAUCGCUUUCGAAGUCACCGGAUGAUAUUGUUAAAGAAAAGCGAAGAAUUAUUAAGGAAGUUUGCCAUCAUUCACGCUACGCGUGUGAUUUACAUGUUAUUUAACCUUCCGUAAGCAAAGUGGGUUUGUUAUGUCCGAGUGUUUUUUUACUGUUAUUUAUUAUUAUAUUAUUACAUUAUUAUUUUACUCUUGCGAAUUAUUUUACUGUUUCCGAAUUGGAAAAGAUCCUGAAGCUAUCCUGAAAUAGUUAUCAAUGUUUUUACUACGCCAAACGUUUGAAAUAUUCCUCAAUAAAAAUAGACAUUCUUUUUGCAAAAAUUGUAGAAUGAAAUUUAAAUUAGAUUCUCAACUACUCGGUUUGCAUACGAAAGAUUAAAUGUACUAAGAAUAUGGAUAUCGAAAAUGAGACUUCCGGGGAAAUAACUGUUUGCAAGGUAUCAGAGGAUUAUAUUAUUCCUUCCAAAACCGUUUGGUAUUGAAUCGUCACAGACUCGAAUAUGUGUACUAAGCAUACUUUCAUACUAAUCAACCACUUUAGAUAUGGUUAGUUUCAAUGUAGUUACACGUCUUAAUGCAACAAGAAUCAAUUGUACAUAACCACUUGAAGUAACCACGUAGAAAAGAUUGUAUUACGAAAUGUCUUGUACAGAAGUUCUAUAUGCUUCCAAACGCAUGCACGAUGCGCUCGUAAAAAGGGUAGUACCUAAAGAAUAUGUAAAGCAGGUUAAACGAUGUAUCGGAGACACAGCCUUGAAUAUUCAUGAAUACUGAACAACUUUUUUGGAAUGGUAUCACAUUUAAAUUCCACUCGUCCUCUAGUACCGCGUUCUGCGCUCUAUUUGUAAGCAUGCACUUUGCACUUUGCUUAACACACGCGUUUCCUAUUGUCGUUACAAUGUUCAAAAAUCAUUCCCUAUCAUUUUUCAAGAGAAAAAAUAUCUAGCGUAAAAAAAAGAAGGGACCUAGGGUAAAAUCUGUAUCUGUGUCCUGUAGGUCUAUUUCGUGCCCCUUACUGUGCGAAUAAUCGUGAUUUAUUGUGUGCAAACAGCAGACCCAACUUUCAACGGAAAUGUAACAAGUGAAUUUCGACGCAGCAGGUAGAUGUUGACGCGGUCUAUUGUCGGAAAGGGUGUAUACAUCGUUGAAAAAACCGACCCCAUCCAUUCGACAAGGGAUUGCGACGAAUUCGUGCCGGCCACGUGCCGCCACGCUUACGAAAACCCGAGAAAGCUGCAAUCUCUUUUUCCACGACACGUUUCCUACUCGGAACAGUACAUAGUAAAAGUAAAAGCGACAGCCAACUUUUACGGGACUAAUACUUUACCUCUAUCUAACAAGGGCAGAAGGACAUCCACGACAAUGGUCAAUGUUACUCGUAAUAUUUCUUCAAGGGAAGUACUCUAUUUGGAGUGAAAUACGAUCAUUAUAAAAUUACGAAAAUUGUCUCCUUGAUUCUACGAUGAUAGAAUGAUACUGGUGGUUGGUGAUCAAGCUCGGCUCUGUAUCGCGGACGAAUUGCCACGCUCGAGUAGAUUUAACACCGGCUGCGCAAGUACCGGUAGCUGUUCGAAACGGGAGCGUUAAUUGUAAACGCGGCUAAAGGGGACGCUGGACAAAGAACGAACAACGUGACGGAAAAGGAGAAAAAAAAAAAAAAAGGAAAAAAGAGAAGGCAGGGAACAAAAAGAAACGAAAGAACGACGGGAAAAACAAACGAAAUAGAACGGACGAUCGUAAGCCGAGAAAAUAGAGUGCAAACUGCCCUUGACGCGAACGAGAAGCAGAGCUUGUAUCUUUGUAACAAGCCCGCGUAAUCGCGCAAUGCCGCCAAUGCCACAAUGCAGCUAAUUAUCAGCAUUAAUGCUGGCGAGAGUCAUGAAUAUUCAUACUUGACAUCUUUAUCGAGCAGCGGGAAAUUGGAGUCGUUAUACGCGGGCCUCCUUUUUGACCCACCUAUCCACGCGAAUCGAUAUGUGACCCGUGCCACGGUUAAGGAAAUUAAAACUUCUCCCCUACUAUGUAUAUACUCCUAUGUAUAUCUACAAUUUUCUUUAAUCUCGUGUAAAAUAUUGCGUGAGCCAGAAUAGUUGUAGAGAUUAGAAGAAGGAAUGGAUGUAUGAGAAAGAGUGGAGGAGUGGACUCGUGCGAAUGACAAAGAGGGAGUGUGCAAUUAAAUUAUAAGAUUAAAUUUAAGUAAUUAAAUAUAAAGUAAAUAGAGUACAGUUAAGUGUAAGUUUAAGUGUGUAUAUAUAUUAUAUAUUUAUUUACAUUAUAUAUUUUAUAUUACAUACUACAUUAUAUAUAUAUGUAUAAUGAUCUAAUGUAUAUAGAGACUGCAUAACAGUGUGAAUGAAACAUCUAUGUAAAUCAAUCUCAGUUUUUAACGGGCAAAAAUUAAUAAUAUAUAUGUAUAUACACCGUUAACAUAAAUUCGUGGUACGAGUGCAAAAUAAGGCAAAAAUGAAGGGUAACAAAAUU